rnacentral:rRNA from 1 species
GACGAACGCUGGCGGCGUGCUUAACACAUGCAAGUCGAACGGUGAAGCGCCUUCCUUUUUGGUGGGUGUGGAUGAGUGGCGAACGGGUGAGUAACACGUGAGUAACCUGCCCCCUUCUUCUGGAUAACCGCAUGAAAGUGUGGCUAAUACGGGAUAUUCUGGGUCUGUCGCAUGAUGGGUCUGGGAAAGAUAUUGUUUCGGUGGGGGAUGGGCUCGCGGCCUAUCAGCUUGUUGGUGGGGUGAUGGCCUACCAAGGCGGUGACGGGUAGCCGGCCUGAGAGGGUGGACGGUCACACUGGGACGGAGGCACGGCCCAGACUCCGACGGGAGGCAGCAGUGGGGAAUAGUGCACAAUGGGCGCAAGCCUGAUGCAGCGACGCCGCGUGAGGGAUGGAGGCCUUCGGGUUGUGAACCUCUUUCGCCAGUGAAGCAGGCCUGCCUCGUUUGUGGGUGGGUUGACGGUAGCUGGAUAAGAAGCGCCGGCUAACUACGUG